UACGGGGGGAGCAAGCGUUGUUCGGAUUUACUGGGCGUAAAGGGCGCGUAGGCGGCCUGCUAAGUCGAACGUGAAAUCCCUGGGCUCAACCCAGGAACUGCGUCCGAUACUGGUUGGCUUGAAUCCGGGAGAGGGACGUGGAAUUCCAGGUGUAGCGGUGAAAUGCGUAGAUAUCGAGAGGAACACCUGCGGCGAAGGCGGGUAGCUGGGCCGACACUGACGCUGAUGCGCGAAAGCCAGGGGAGCGAACGGG
rnacentral:rRNA from 1 species